AACGAACGCUGGCGGCAUGCCUAACACAUGCAAGUCGAACGAGACCUUCGGGUCUAGUGGCGCACGGGUGCGUAACGCGUGGGAAUCUGCCCUUAGGUUCGGAAUAACUCAGGGAAACUUGAGCUAAUACCGGAUGAUGUCUUCGGACCAAAGAUUUAUCGCCUAAGGAUGAGCCCGCGUAAGAUUAGCUAGUUGGUGAGGUAAAGGCUCACCAAGGCUACGAUCUUUAGCUGGUCUGAGAGGAUGAUCAGCCACACUGGGACUGAGACACGGCCCAGACUCCUACGGGAGGCAGCAGUGGGGAAUAUUGGACAAUGGGCGAAAGCCUGAUCCAGCAAUGCCGCGUGAGUGAUGAAGGCCUUAGGGUUGUAAAGCUCUUUUGCCAGGGAUGAUAAUGACAGUACCUGGAGAAUAAGCUCCGGCUAACUCCGUGC
rnacentral:rRNA from 1 species